CUACGGGGCGCUCCAGUGAGGAAUUUUGCGCAAUGGGGGAAACCCUGACGCAGCAACGCCGCGUGAGCGAAGAAGGCCCUCGGGUCGUAAAGCUCUGUCAAGUGGGAAAAAAGCCUUUUGAUUAAUACCCAAAAGGUUUGAUGGUACCACUGGAGGAAGCACCGGCUAACUCCGUGCCAGCAGCCGCGGUAAUACGGAGGGUGCAAGCGUUGUUCGGAAUUACUGGGCGUAAAGGGCGUGCAGGCGGUUUGGCAAGUCAGAUGUGAAAGCCCUGGGCUUAACCCGGGAAGUGCAUUUGAAACUGCCUUUCUUGAGUAUGGGAGAGGAGAGUGGAAUUCCCAGUGUAGAGGUGAAAUUCGUAGAUAUUGGGAGGAACACCCGUGGCGAAGGCGACUCUCUGGACCAAUACUGACGCUGAGACGCGAAAGCGUGGGGAGCAAACAGGAUUAGAUACCCCUGUAGUC
rnacentral:rRNA from 1 species